UCUGCACCUUCCAUGCAGAUUUUUUUCCUUGGAGAAUCAAUGGCGUUCAAAUUCCUACGUUCGGGUUCUUCAUCUAGGAAACCCAAGCCAAGACUCCAGUCAUCUCUAACCCUUCUUUACCACCACCAUUCCAAUUCCCUUGGAUCACAAACCCACACGGAAGGUAAACAAGAUCCCCUCAGGAAUUCCUUCCUUUCUCAUGAAGUUCCUUGGUCAGAGUCUCAAUGGUAUCUUCUUGAUUUUCCAUGUGGCGACUGCUCAUACAAAAUUCAGAGGUGAUGGGAUGGGCAAUUGUCUUAAAAGGGAUAUUGAUGUUUCUUUGGGUUUCUGAGCUGAAGUCUUGGUAAUUCGAGCUUUAUGUCUCGGUAUGUUUCAAAAAGGGUGGGGAUGUCUCCACCCGAAAAGGAGGCUGCAAGGAGAUAAGGACUUUCUGACUUCGAGAGCCCCAGGUCCCCAUCACAACUUGGAACCAUCGUCCAGAAGUGCAUUAGGAGCACAAGAUGUUCUGUAAGGAACACAAAGCACUCUGGGAGAUGGCAAAAGCCUUUCCCAUUAUUGGGCCAACGAUGAUGAGAGUAGGAGCUGCUGCUUAAAUUAUUCAGUACAUAAAGAACGUUCACGAUAGGAGCUGCUUACACGGACCCAAGGCUCUUAGUGACUCUGUCUGGUGAUGAACUGAGAUGCCUCCAAAACCUUUCCUGAGCAAUAUCUGUAUCGCUAGUGAGGGAAACAAGAUCUACAGAGGAACUUCCAUCAUCCUCUUGGAGCUCCAAGGUGCAAAGUCACCAAUUCUACAGAAGAGAUUUGGUCCCGUACAUGUAAUAGCAAGAAGGGGUGAUGAUUAAUCUUCAAUGCUCCAUGCAACGUGGUGGAUUUCUGUGGCUCUUUGUAGCCUUGUGAGGCACCAUCUGGCUCUUGGGGUAAAAGUAGAAACCAGGCGCCACUGCCAAUAGUGCGUGAUGCCUGGGAAAGGAUCUCUGGACCAUACUGCCUGGAAUCGAAUCUCUGUUUGGACCCAGCAUGUCUUGCUUGGUAUAGGACCUCAGGUAACUUGCAUCUCUGGGUGUGUUAAAAUGGGUGUAAUGAUACCUUCUGGUUCAUGGCUGUUGUGAAGAUUAAAUGGCAAUGCUCACAAGGGUAGCAUGUGUAGAAAGCUCCCCGGAAUGGAACACUCUAUAUAAUCCUGUGCAAAUACAUUUUUAAUGAAUACAGUAAUAUAAUUAUUACACAAAUAUUAUAUGUACAUAUAUCAUUAUACAUUAUAUGCAAUGCAAUCUACAAUGAUGUUUGUAACAUAAAAUACAUUAUAAAAAUAUAAUAAAUGUGGUAUGCAUUUAUUAUAAUGUGGUAUGCAUUUAUUAUAAUAUAGAAUUAUAAUAUAGUAUAUAUAUAUAUAAUAUAGAAGAGAUUAUAUCUAUAUUGUGUUAUAUAUUACAUAUUAUAUUAUAAGAUAGUCUAUAUUACAAUAUACAGACGGGGCAGAGAGGGAGACUUAUGUACAGACAUAUAUAUGGGUUGUAUGUGUAUAAAUGGUGCAUUCAGUUAAAAACAUCAGCAACAAGCCUCUAACAUGCUUCUUUUUCUUUUUAUUUUUUUGCUAUUUCUUGGGCCGCUCCCACGGCAUAUGGAGGUUCCCAGGCUAGGGGUCCAAUCGGAGCCGUAGCCACCAGCCUACGCCAGAGCCACAGCGACGCGGGAUUCGAGCUGCAUCUGCAAUCUACACCACAGCUCUCGGCAACGCCGGACUGUUAACCCACUGAGCAAGCGCAGGGACCGAACCCGCAACCUCAUGGUUCCUAGUCGGAUUCGUUAACCACUGCGCCAUGACGGGAACUCCAACAUGCUUCUUUUUCAAAGAAUGAUGACCUGACAAUGGCCCAUAAAGGAUGGCAUCCAUUCCCUCUCAUUGACCCAGGACAUCUUGUGUUCUCUUUGUCAACAUCCAAUUUUAUCCUACUUUACACAACAUGAAAUAGUUUCAUCACCCCACCCAGAGAAAGGAAGAGAAAGCCCAGAAUGGAAAGUCUGAUCAUGGGAAAGAAAGAAAGAGAUUUAGCAAGAAUAGAAUGCUACCACGGCCAAGGACAUAGGUUUGGUAAAUGCAGGGAAAAUUGGUACCUACACUCCUGCAACUGACUCUGUGAAUGAAAUCAGUGCAUGCGUUUUAACAUAUGUCCAGGAUCCCCAGGGACCCGGGUACUUAGAAAAAACUUCAUAUUUUCAAAUAGGAAGAGCUCUGCUAUUUGUUGCUCAUUACAGUGUUUGCUGAUAUACCAGAAAUGACACUUGAACAGAAAAAGAACACAAAAUGAAUGAGAGGAAAAUAAAGAAAUAAUUAAUUGGAUAUUUGUCAUGAAACUUGAAGCUUAUGAGCAACUGUCACAGGAGGAAACCAAUGGAUGCAGUUUUCCUCAUGUCCUAAACAGAUGGUUUUGAGAGGAUA
rnacentral:lncRNA from 1 species